UACGUAGGGGGCUAGCGUUGUCCGGAAUCAUUGGGCGUAAAGAGCGUGUAGGCGGUCCGGUAAGUCCGCUGUGAAAGUCGGGGGCUCAACCCUCGAAUGCCGGUGGAUACUGUCGGGCUAGAGUGCGGAAGAGGCGAGUGGAAUUCCUGGUGUAGCGGUGAAAUGCGCAGAUAUCGGAAGGAACACCAGUGGCGAAAGCGGCUUCCUGGUCCAGCACCGACGUUCAGGCACGAAAGCGUGGGGAGCAAACAGG
rnacentral:rRNA from 1 species